rnacentral:rRNA from 1 species
UGGGGAAUUUUGGACAAUGGGCGAAAGCCUGAUCCAGCAAUGCCGCGUGUGUGAAGAAGGCCUUCGGGUUGUAAAGCACUUUUGUCCGGAAAGAAAUCCUUGGCUCUAAUACAGUCGGGGGAUGACGGUACCGGAAGAAUAAGCACCGGCUAACUACGUGCCAGCAGCCGCGGUAAUACGUAGGGUGCAAGCGUUAAUCGGAAUUACUGGGCGUAAAGCGUGCGCAGGCGGUUUGCUAAGACCGAUGUGAAAUCCCCGGGCUCAACCUGGGAACUGCAUUGGUGACUGGCAGGCUAGAGUAUGGCAGAGGGGGUAGAAUUCCACGUGUAGCAGUGAAAUGCGUAGAGAUGUGGAGGAAUACCGAUGGCGAAGGCAGCCCCCUGGGCCAAUACUGACGCUCAUGCACGAAAGCGUGGGGAGCAAACAGGAUUAGAUACCCUGGUAGUCCACGCCCUAAAACGAUGUCAACUAGUUGUUGGGGAUUCAUUUCCUUAGUAACGUAGCUAACGCGUGAAGUUGACCGCCUGGGGAGUACGGUCGCAA